CCAUCAUGGACCUUUCAGCCCAACGGAAUAUGACUCAUGAGCAAACCAGAUGAUCAGAUGGAGGCUCAGAGGAUUACGGGACUCGCAGUGGCAUACAAUGAGAAGGUGGGGAAAUCUAGAUUAAGGCCCAGGAUGCAAAAUCACUGGAGACUGAGC